CAUCUGAAUGUGCAUUCAGCACGGGAGGUCGCAUUCUUGACUCGUUCAGGAGUUCGUUGACGCCUAAACUGGUGCAAUCUCUUAUUUGUCUUCAAGAUUGGCUUAGAAGUGAACCUAUUCCUAUUAAAGUUGAGGAAGACUUGGAGUAUCUAGAACAACUAGAACUUGAUCUGGCUGAUAGUGCAAAAGAUUCAACUAUUAUUGACAUAUAGUUGCAACAUGUACCAUGUGUGGUUUGAUCAUGGCGCCUAGAUGGAAGUGAUGCUAUAGUAAAUAGACUUCACUUGUUUCAUGCUACUUAAUGUAAUUAUUU